rnacentral:rRNA from 1 species
GACGAACGCUGGCGGCGUGCUUAACACAUGCAAGUCGUACGGUAAGGCCCUUUCGGGGGUACACGAGUGGCGAACGGGUGAGUAACACGUGAGUAACCUGCCCACAACUUUGGGAUAACGCUAGGAAACUGGUGCUAAUACUGGAUAUGUGCUCCUGCUGCAUGGUGGGGGUUGGAAAGCUCCGGCGGUUGUGGAUGGACUCGCGGCCUAUCAGCUUGUUGGUGGGGUAGUGGCCUACCAAGGCGGCGACGGGUAGCCGGCCUGAGGGGGUGACCGGCCAUAUUGGGACUGAGAUACGGCCCAGACUCCUACGGGAGGCAGCAGUGGGGAAUAUUGCACAAUGGGCGCAAGCCUGAUGCAGCAACGCCGCGUGCGGGAUAACGGCCUUCGGGUUGUAAACCGCUUUCAGCAGGGACGAAGCUUUUUGUGACGGUACCUGCAGAAGAAGCACCGGCUAACUACGUG